AGAUAGGAUAUCCAUGAUUUACACACCAAUGGUCAUAUGAUGAUUAUCUAAUGUUCAGCUGUCUCUUGUAUCAAGAUGAUACAAGCCACAUUACCAAACCAUGCUGAUGGAACAAACAACGAUAUGAAGGGCGUUGCAUUUCGAAACCCGUUGUGCAUUUCUGAUUUCGGGAUCUACAAGUAAAUAUCAACAUGGCAACAGGUAUAUUUUGUUUUUACC